AAUCCAACUUUAGCCAAUGGAUUUUUUGGCUCCCGCAUCGAUGAAGAACGUAGGGAAUUGCGAUAAUUUUUGGGAAUUGCAGAUUUAGGGAAUCAUCGGGUUUUUGAACGCAUUUUGCCCCCUUUGGUUUUCCGGGGGGUAUUUUUGUUUGAGAACC
rnacentral:rRNA from 1 species